rnacentral:rRNA from 1 species
AGUGAACGCUGGCGGCAGGCCUAAUACAUGCAAGUCGAACGGCAGCACAGCAGAGCUUGCUCUGUGGGUGGCGAGUGGCGGACGGGUGAGGAAUACAUGGGAAUCUGCCCAGUCGUGGGGGAUAACGUAUGGAAACGUACGCUAAUACCGCAUGCGCCCUAAGGGGGAAAGCCGGGGACCGCAAGGCCUGGCGCGAUUGGAUGAGCCCAUGUUCGAUUAGCUAGUUGGCGGGGUAAAGGCCCACCAAGGCGACGAUCGAUAGCUGGUCUGAGAGGAUGAUCAGCCACACUGGAACUGAGACACGGUCCAGACUCCUACGGGAGGCAGCAGUAGGGAAUAUUGGACAAUGGGGGCAACCCUGAUCCAGCCAUGCCGCGUGAGUGAAGAAGGCCCUCGGGUUGUAAAGCUCUUUGUCCGGAAAGAAAGCAUCUGGUUAAUACCCGGGUGUUCUGACGGUACCGGAAGAAUAAGCACCGGCUAACUUCGUGCC